ensembl:lncRNA
CUCAAGCCCUGUCCUGAGGCCACUCGCUGUGCCGAAGUGUGGGAUUCAGGCCAGCAGUGCCAGGCCAAGACACACAGAGCCACCAAGUAGAUUGUCCGACAUGUGCAGGAAGCUGCAGACCACCAUAGAGGAAAACAUGGGACCCGAGAACGAGACAAGCCUGGCACGGUGGCCCAUGCCUGUGAUCCCAGCACUUGGGAGGCUGAGGCAGGAGGAUCACCACGAGUUCAAGGCCAGCCUGGGCUACACAGUGAGGUCAAGGCCAGCCUGGACUACAAAGUGAGACCUUGUCUCAAAAAACUAUAAAACAGGGCCGGG